UUGGUGUGCCAUAAGUCAGCCGGUCAGCUUAUUCGUGUCAAUUGCGAUGGUCAAUCUAUCUAUAACUGAAUCAUGAAUUUACAUGUCCUUGAUUUCUUAUUUAUGCUACUCAAUUGUGCAGAUGUACUACAAAAACACUUUCAACCCAAAUUUUAUUGGUGGAAGAAAGGCAUUCGAAGUUGCAGUGCAGCAGACCCAGUCUUCUAGGUUGCUCUACCAGUUUCUAGGCAGAAGGUAUACUUAUUAUGAGAUCUUACUCCAAAUAUGCCCCAUGUUUUUCAUUUGAGAUAUGUAUUCUAAUUUAUGUCAUUGCCAGCCUUUCUUUGCUUUCAACUUUCUUAAUAAUCUUCUAUAGCAUGCUCUGGAGUCUGAGAAGGGAUCAGCCUCUGAAAGAAGUGUUAAGUCUUGGGUUAUUCUUGCUAGACGAGCUAAUGGAGUAGUUACUGAUUCGGUUUGCAAUUGUAUACUGUUUAAUUGAUAAAAUAUUUCCUUAUAUCUUAGUGGGAAUCAAGGUAAGGGCUAAAUUUAGCACCUCACUGUUAUUACUCUAUAAAUGACAAAUAGGGUGUCCGUGCUGCAUCAGAUGUUGAAAGAGUUGUACCCUCUGGAAACAAUGGUGGAUCAAGUUGGGGUAUCUCAUCCCUUUUUGGUGGAGAUGAUAGCCGUAUGACUGUGAAGGAGAAUAUAGCUAGUAAACCACAUACUGAACAACCAGUUCACAGCAAGGAGCAAUCAUUCUCUACGAUCCAUUUGAGAGAGCCACCUCCUAUCUUGAGGCCGUCUGAGAGCAAUUCAGAGACAGAUGUUGUUAAAAUAACAGCAAAUAAGUUGCUUCUGAGAUCAUACUACGACAU